GUAGGUGGCAAGCGUUGUCCGGAAUUAUUGGGCGUAAAGCGCGCGCAGGUGGUUCUUUAAGUCUGAUGUGAAAGCCCCCGGGCUCAACCGGGGAGGGUCAUUGGAAACUGGGGAACUUGAGUGCAGGAGAGGAAAGUGGAAUUCCACGUGUAGCGGUGAAAUGCGUAGAUAUGUGGAGGAACACCAGUGGCGAAGGCGACUUUCUGGCCUGUAACUGACACUGAGGCGCGAAAGCGUGGGGAGCAAACAGGAUUAGAUACCCUGGUAGUCCACGCCGUAAACGAUGAGUGCUAAGUGUUGGGGGGUUUCCGCCCCUCAGUGCUGCAGCUAACGCAUUAAGCACUCCGCCUGGGGAGUACGGUCGCAGGACUG
rnacentral:rRNA from 1 species